AGUGAACGCUGGCGGUAGGCCUAACACAUGCAAGUCGAACGGCAGCACAGUAAGAGCUUGCUCUUACGGGUGGCGAGUGGCGGACGGGUGAGGAAUACAUCGGAAUCUACUUUUUCGUGGGGGAUAACGUAGGGAAACUUACGCUAAUACCGCAUACGACCUACGGGUGAAAGCAGGGGAUCUUCGGACCUUGCGCGAUUGAAUGAGCCGAUGUCGGAUUAGCUAGUUGGCGGGGUAAAGGCCCACCAAGGCGACGAUCCGUAGCUGGUCUGAGAGGAUGAUCAGCCACACUGGAACUGAGACACGGUCCAGACUCCUACGGGAGGCAGCGGUGGGGAAUAUUGGGCAAUGGGCGCAAGCCUGAUCCAGCCAUACCGCGUGGGUGAAGAAGGCCUUCGGGUUGUAAAGCCCUUUUGUUGGGAAAGAAAAGCAGCAGGUUAAUACCCCGCUGUUCUGACGGUACCCAAAGAAUAAGCACCGGCUAACUUCGUG
rnacentral:rRNA from 1 species